UUCUUUCUUUAAAUGUGCAUAUAAAAUUGUGUGAAGGAACAGAAAUUUUGCGAUGUGCACUACCAUAUUUGACUGCAAUUUCAUUUUACAAUGUUUACAAGACCAUCCCAACCACGACAUAAAUGAAAUUAAACCAUAUUCUCUACCACAAGUGUCUUAUUCGAUUCAAAAUACAUGGUUAGAUGAUAUCGAGCAAAAAAUAUUGUCUCGCAUUAAAAAUAAAUAUCCUACAUAUCCAAUAUUUUGGAUUUCUUCUGAAAAACUUUCCUUUUGGGAAGAGACCAAUAUCAAUGACACUUUCUGGGAUAAGACAGAAAUAAUACAAAUUGUGGAAAUACUCGACGAGUAUGUAUUUUCGAUAGAAAUGCUCCAUAAAUUGGUUCAACUAUGGCGACAAUUAGAUCCGAAAAACCAUCGUUCUGAAAGCUCAGCACAUUUUAGGGACCGUAUACUAUAUGCUACAUAUCACAGUGUAGCUAGUAGACUCCGUAUAGAUUGCGAUUCGUCGGUAGAUCUACUAGACCAAUUUCUAAAAAAAAAAACAAAAUUUUCUAGUCUCGAAAAGCAUAAGUAUAAUUUUAGCUUUAGUUUUAUAAAGAAUCCUGAUGAUAUUUAUAUGUAUUUAUACU